AAGGGCGCACGGUGAAUGCCUUGGCACUGGAAGCCGAUGAAGGACGCGACUAACCGCGAAAGUCUUCGGGGAGCCGUAAGUAGGCUUUGAUCCGGAGGUCUCCGAAUGGGGGAACCCAGCAUGUGCAGACAUGCUAUCCUUAAGUGAAUACAUAGCUUAAGGAGGGAACACGCAGUGAACUGAAACAUCUAAGUAGCUGCAGGAAGAGAAAGAAAUAUCGAUUUCCCAAGUAGCGGCGAGCGAACAGGAAAGAGCCCAAACCGGCAGAUUUAUCUGCCGGGGUUGUAGGACUGAGACAUGGCACUUCAGAGGAUAGCAGAAGCGUUUGGGAAAGCGCGCCAGAGAGGGUGAGAGCCCCGUAAGCGAAAUCCAAAGAAGGCCUAUCAGUAUCCUGAGUAGGGCGGGACACGUGAAAUCCCGUUUGAAUCCGCGAGGACCAUCUCGCAAGGCUAAAUACUAACCAGUGACCGAUAGUGAACCAGUACCGUGAGGGAAAGGUGAAAAGAACCCCGGGAGGGGAGUGAAAGAGAACCUGAAACCGUGUGCCUACAAGUAGUCAGAGCCCGUUAACGGGUAAUGGCGUGCCUUUUGUAGAAUGAACCGGCGAGUUGCGUUAGUCAGCAAGGUUAAGUCAGAAAAGACGGAGCCGUAGCGAAAGCGAGUCUGAAGAGGGCGAGCAGUUGGCUGACGCAGACCCGAAACCAAGUGACCUACCCAUGACCAGGUUGAAGGCGCGGUAAAACGCGCUGGAGGACCGAACCCACGUAAGUUGAAAAUUGCGGGGAUGAGUUGUGGGUAGCGGUGAAAUUCCAAACGAACUUGGAGAUAGCUGGUUCUCUCCGAAAUAGCUUUAGGGCUAGCCUCGCAAAGAGGAUGCUGGAGGUAGAGCUCUGUUUGGACUAGGGGCCCGUCAAGGGUUACUGAAUUCAGAUAAACUGCGAAUUCCAGACAUUUAUGUGCGGGAGUCAGACUGCGAGUGAUAAGAUCCGUAGUCGAAAGGGAAACAGCCCAGAUCACCAGUUAAGGUCCCAAAAUUCAUGCUAAGUGGAAAAGGAUGUGGAGUUGCGCAGACAACUAGGACGUUGGCUCAGAAGCAGCCAUCAUUCAAAGAGUGCGUAAUAGCUCACUAGUCGAGUGACGCCGCGCCGAAAAUUUACCGGGGCUAAGCAUGAUACCGAAACUGUGGAUGUGCAUUUAUGCACGUGGUAGGAGAGCGUUCUAGCGGCGGUGAAGCAUGACCGAGAGGACAUGUGGAGCUUCUAGAAGUGAGAAUGCCGGUAUGAGUAACGAAAGACAGGUGAGAAUCCUGUCCGCCGCAAGACUAAGGUUUCCUGGGGCAGGCUCGUCCGCCCAGGGUAAGUCGGGACCUAAGGCGAGGCCGAGAGGCGUAGUCGAUGGACAACAGGUUGAAAUUCCUGUACUGCACCGAAUCGUUAUGAGCGAUGGAGGGACGCAGGAGGCUAGCAGCGCGUGGUGCUGGAUACCACGUUCAAGCGUCAAGUCUGAGAGCGAGUCAAAUGCUUGCUCUCAUAAGGACAAGGCGUGAUGAGGAGCGAAAUUAAAGUAGCGAAGGCUGCGACGUCACACUGCCGAGAAAAGCUUCUAGCCAGAGACGGUGCACCCGUACCGCAAACCGACACAGGUAGUCGAGGAGAGUAUCCUCAGGUGAGCGAGAGAACUCUCGUUAAGGAACUCGGCAAAAUGGCCCCGUAACUUCGGGAGAAGGGGCGCUGGUCGCAAGAUCAGCCGCAGUGAAAAGGCCCAAGCAACUGUUUAUCAAAAACACAGGCAUCUGCAAAAUCGUAAGAUGAAGUAUAGGUGCUGACACCUGCCCGGUGCUGGAAGGUUAAGAGGAGAGCUUAGCGCAAGCGAAGGUUUGAAUUGAAGCCCCAGUAAACGGCGGCCGUAACUAUAACGGUCCUAAGGUAGCGAAAUUCCUUGUCGGGUAAGUUCCGACCUGCACGAAAGGUGUAAUGAUUUGGGCACUGUCUCAACGAGAGACUCGGUGAAAUUAUAAUACCCGUGAAGAUGCGGGUUACCCGCGACAGGACGGAAAGACCCCAUGGAGCUUUACUGCAGUUUAAUAUUGGGUAUCUGUCAAGCAUGUACAGGAUAGGUAGGAGCCGGAGAAGAUAGGACGCCAGUCUUAUCUGAGGCGCUGUUGGGAUACUACCCUUGCUUGACGGAUGCUCUAACUCAGGCCUGUGAUCCAGGCCGAGGACAGUGUUUGACGGGCAGUUUGACUGGGGCGGUCGCCUCCUAAAGUGUAACGGAGGCGCCCAAAGGUUCCCUCAGAAUGGUUGGAAAUCAUUCGCAGAGUGUAAAGGUAAAAGGGAGCUUGACUGCGAGAGAGACAACUCGAGCAGGUACGAAAGUAGGGCUUAGUGAUCUGGUGGUACCGCAUGGAAGGGCCAUCACUCAACGGAUAAAAGCUACCCUGGGGAUAACAGGCUUAUCUCCCCCAAGAGUUCACAUCGACGGGGAGGUUUGGCACCUCGAUGUCGGCUCGUCGCAUCCUGGGGCUGAAGUCGGUCCCAAGGGUUGGGCUGUUCGCCCAUUAAAGCGGCACGCGAGCUGGGUUCAGAACGUCGUGAGACAGUUCGGUCCCUAUCCGUCGUGGGCGCAGGAAAUUUGAGAGGAGCUGUCCUUAGUACGAGAGGACCGGGAUGGACGCACCGCUGGUGUACCAGUUGUCUUGCCAAAGGCAUCGCUGGGUAGCUAUGUGCGGACGGGAUAAGCGCUGAAAGCAUCUAAGUGCGAAGCCCCCCUCAAGAUGAGAUUUCCCAUUUCUUCAAGAAAGUAAGACACCUCAGAGACGAUGAGGUAGAUAGGCCGGGAGUGGAAG
rnacentral:rRNA from 1 species